UUGAAUGAAUGUAGAGUUGGUUGUAGCUGGCCUCCUUGGGGCAUGUGCACACCUUCUCUUUCAUCCACACACCCCUGUGCACCUGUGAGACAGAGACUUGCUCCUUUAAUUAGGACAGUUUCUGUCUGCUUCACAUAAAAUCAUAUUAUUAAAUUUUGAAUGUAAUUGAUGUAACGCAUCUAAUAC
rnacentral:misc_RNA from 1 species